rnacentral:rRNA from 1 species
UGCCUUUUGAAAUAAUAUAAAAGGUAAAACCUGCCCAGUGAUUUACGAAUUCAACGGCCGCGGUACCCUGACCGUGCUAAGGUAGCAUAUAAUAUGCCCUUUAAUUGUGGGCUAGUAUGAACGGACAAACGAGAGCUCAACUGUCUCUAAGAUAUUCAAUAAAAUUGCCCUUUAGGUGAAGAGGCCUAAAUUCUAUUAAAAGACAAAAAGACCCUGUAGAGCUUCAUCAAUUCUCUAAGCUAAAAAAUUUAUUUUAUAUAUUAUUUUUACUUAUAAUUUGAUUUAACUGGGGCGGUUAGAGAGCACUUACCCUCUCUAUUAAAAAAGGACACAAACCUAUAAUUAUUGAUCCUAUAAAGAUUAAAGAAAAAAGCUACCUCAGGGAUAACAGGCUUAUAUCUCCUAAGAGCACUUAUCGAAGGAGAAGUUUGGCACCUCGAUGUUGGCUUAGGGGACCCUAAGAGUAGCAGAAGCCCUUUAUGGCAGGUUUGUUCAACCUUUAAACCCCU